UGGCUGGGUGAAAAAUUAUGUUGAGACUUUCAACUUUACCCUUCUCUUUCUCACGUCUGAAGCAAUCUCUUCUUUUUUCAUUCUUCUUCCUAUUUUAUUCCAAACUUGUCUCCCUCUUUUUCAUGCUUCUGUUAUCACCAACUCUAUCUCCCUUUGAUAAACCCUAACAAGGCCUUCAAUUAAGAUUCGUUUUUCUAACUCCAACCCUUAACAAGGCUUUCGAUUGAGAUGGAAACUUGAGAAGAGAAACAAUCGGCAGUCCUCCCUCAGCUUUCUUGUUAGUGAAUAAGCAUGUCUCGUCACAAGUUUGAGCAUCCAAGGCACGGUCAUUGGGCUUUCUCCCGAGGAAAAGAGCCUCCCGACAUCGAGGAAAAGGCUUUCCCAAAAGAUGAUCCUACUAAGCCAUGCAAAUUAACUGCAUUCUUGGGUUAUAAGGCCAGAAUGACCCAUAUUGUGAGGGAAGUU